rfam:Camelus ferus unplaced genomic scaffold scaffold1340, whole genome shotgun sequence.
GAGGGUAGAGCUCAGUGGUAGAGCGCAUGCUUAGCAGGCACAAGGGCCUGGGUUCAAUUUCCAGUACUGCCA